CUCACCUGCGCGGGGGGCGGCCGAGGAGAUUUGAGCCUCGGCGGCCGCCAUCGUUCCCCUCUGUGGCCGCUUCCCGUUGAUGCCGCUGCGACCGCUCCGGGCUCCUCCAGCGGGGCCCAGGGCUGGACAUGAGCAGUUCUGACAGCUCCUGUUCAUCUGCAUCGUGACAGGGACUGGUUUAGGACUGGCCACAAGCCAGGCUCAGUUCAGCAAGCACAAGCUGUAACUACCUGGGGCUGGAGAUGGACACGAGCUGCAGCCACGAUGGAACUGGAGUCAUCCAAGAGCUGCGCCUGAAAAACAGGAGGGCAGAAAUAGAGACCUGAGGCUGCAAUCGAGCCCGAGCCAUGCAUGAGCUGGAGCUAUUGGGACAGAACCCACUGCCCUGGAGCUGCGAAUGAGCUGCAGCCACCACAGCCAGGAGCCUAACCCAGAGCCAGAACUGAACUGGAGAUGUCCAGGAGCUGUGGCUGAACCAACACCAAAACCAACCCAAAAUCAAACCAGCAAACCCAAACCAAACACAACCUCAGAACACCCCCACACACACCAAGUCCCCAACCUGGAGCUGUGUCAAAGCUGCUUCUUGGGGCUUCACACCCCACACACACUGCAUCUGGGGUACCUCUGCCUGCCCCUGUGUUCAUCCCUGGGCAGGAACGGGUGCAGCCUGGCCCCAAGAGCACCGGAGCUGCUCCCCAGCAGCACCAACCAGCGCUGGGGUCUGGGUCGGGCCUUGCCAGUGCCGGCUCCUGCCUCCUGAGCUGAGCACCGGCUCUGUGGCAUCCUCGCCCCGGUGGAACCAAUUCCGUGCAGCCUCUCCCACACGCAUUGGUCCCAGCUCUUCGUGGCUUCAGUGGGGCCAGCGCUGGACUGGGGACGCUGUGCUCCCGGCAGCUGCUCCAGGAAAGAGCUGGGAGCAGGAAGCAGCAGGGGAGGAGGGAGCCCGCAGCCAGCUCAGGGAACCAGCAGCAGCUGCGGACAAAGCCAGCCGCAGGAGGCGGUUCAGUGCCUUUGGCUGCUCACCGUUACCGGGCAGUAACGAGCUGCAGCCGCCUACUUUCUGCUCCCGCCGUUUGGAGACCCCCAGGAAUCUCAGUCACUCACUCCCCCGUGCAGGUCCCGAUGCCGAGGUCGUGCCUGGGUGUCCUGGCUUGUGCAGGGCUGGGAACAGAGCGUGGCUCAUUGUGGGAUGCAGCGAAUCCCGCAGCACGUGUGGCUCGCGGGGACCUUAAACCGCAAACCCGCCCCAAAACAGCACUGAUCGCACCAGAGGGGACCCCGGACACGGCUCCUGCCCCACCCCUCGGCCCCCGCUAGCGGGGGAAGGUCAGGACCGGGGCGGCGCCCCCUAGCGGAGGGAUGGCAGCAAACGUGCCCCCUAGCGAAAGACUGGGACAGCCUUGGGAUGGCUUCCACCUCUGCAGAGCAGCUGUGCGUGCUGCAUUGGUGCUGAGCUACAGGGAACAGAAAGGAAGGGAACCGACUGCUCCUUCAAUUCUUGUCUCUCUUAACAGGACAGAUGUCAUUAUCUUGGGCAACCGGAUUUCUACAGUUACAGAAGUGUGAGGUCUGAUGAAUAUCAUCUAAUUAUUAAUAACUAAAACAGGCAAAGUCCUGUGCAGCCCACCCAUGGCUGUUCUUUUCCCCCACGUGAACUGAAGGGGAAUCUGUGAUUCCCUGUAUUUACCACGGGCUAAAGGCUACACGUAAGGUUUUAGAGCACAGGACCUAACACACAGUAAAUGCACAGAGCACCGCACAGCUCUGUGUGCACAGCUCGCACUUACACACCUAUCGCUGCUGUCCUGCAGUCUGCCCUGCCCACAGCAAGGCCGAGAGCCAAACCUUGGGAAGUUUCUUUAUAAUCCAAUCCAGAAUUGAGCCAAACGUGAGGGUGUAGGAAGCUCUCAGGAACUGCACAUAAUUCUGCAUGCUCUGGCUCUUGUUCUCGGACUUCUGCAGGCUGUUCUCCAGCUCCUUCAAAUGUACUUCAUGGUGCUUUUUGUUCUAAAGGAAAACACAAAGAGAAAUGCAAUGAGCUUAGAAGUAAACCACAAAUCAAUCAGUAAUCAGGUAAGGUGGCUGGUACCUGAUUGUUGGAAGUGCCAUUUACCUGGGAAAGGUUUCAGAGGCUCCACAAAACCGAAGGGUUCCAAAAAGGCCACAAAAUCUCAAGGCUUUGUUUAUGUUCUGUCAGGACUGAAGUGAAUGUAUUUGACUGGGCUGAUAAUCGGGAAAAGGCCUGGGAAUGUAAGAACUCACUGCCUGAAUUCUCCCAUGAGAGAUUUGUGGCAACUUAAACCUGUCCUGGGCUCAGCGCUCUCUCUCAUCUUGAUUUGUCAAUAAACAUCCGCUAUUGGUAUUUGA